rnacentral:rRNA from 1 species
UACGUAGGGGGGCAAGCGUUUGUCCGGAAUCAUUGGGCGUAAAAGAGCGUGUAGGCGGCUCGAUAAGUCUGCUGUGAAAGUCCAGGGCUCAACCCUGGAAGGCCGGUGGAAACUGUCGGGCUAGAGUCCGGAAGAGGCGAGUGGAAUUCCUGGUGUAGCGGUGAAAUGCGCAGAUAUCAGGAAGAACACCCGUGGCGAAGGCGGCUCUCUGGGACGGGUACUGACGCUGAGACGCGAAAAGCGUGGGGAGCAAACAGGG